rnacentral:rRNA from 1 species
AAGCAGGGGAUCGUAAGACCUUGCGCUUUUGGAGUGGCCGAUGCCUGAUUAGCUAGUUGGUAGGGUAAAGGCCUACCAAGGCGACGAUCAGUAGUUGGUCUGAGAGGACGACCAGCCACACUGGGACUGAGACACGGCCCAGACUCCUACGGGAGGCAGCAGUGGGGAAUUUUGGACAAUGGGCGCAAGCCUGAUCCAGCAAUGCCGCGUGAGUGAAGAAGGCCUUCGGGUUGUAAAGCUCUUUCAGUCGAGAAGAAAAAGUUGUGGUGAAUAAUCACAAUUUAUGACGGUAUCGACAGAAGAAGCACCGGCUAACUACGUGCCAGCAGCCGCGGUAAUACGUAGGGUGCAAGCGUUAAUCGGAAUUACUGGGCGUAAAGGGUGCGCAGGCGGCUUUGUAAGUCAGAUGUGAAAUCCCCGGGCUUAACCUGGGAAUUGCGUUUGAAACUACAAGGCUUAG